rnacentral:tRNA from 1 species
GGAAGGGUAGCUCAGUUGGUAGUAGCACACGACUGAUAAUCGUGAGGUCGGGAGUUCGAACCUCCCCCUUUCCA